rnacentral:rRNA from 1 species
UGCGGAGGGAUCAUUACACAAAUAUGAAGGCGGGCUGGAACCUCUCGGGGUUACAGCCUUGCUGAAUUAUUCACCCUUGUCUUUUGCGUACUUCUUGUUUCCUUGGUGGGUUCGCCCACCACUAGGACAAACAUAAACCUUUUGUAAUUGCAAUCAGCGUCAGUAACAAAUUAAUAAUUACAACUUUCAACAACGGAUCUCUUGGUUCUGGCAUCGAUGAAGAACGCAGCGAAAUGCGAUAAGUAGUGUGAAUUGCAGAAUUCAGUGAAUCAUCGAAUCUUUGAACGCACAUUGCGCCCUUUGGUAUUCCAAAGGGCAUGCCUGUUCGAGCGUCAUUUGUACCCUCAAGCUUUGCUUGGUGUUGGGCGUCUUGUCUCUAGCUUUGCUGGAGACUCGCCUUAAAGUAAUUGGCAGCCGGCCUACUGGUUUCGGAGCGCAGCACAAGUCGCACUCUCUAUCAGCAAAGGUCUAGCAUCCACUAAGCCUUUUUUUCAACUUUUGACCUCGGAUCAGGUAGGGAUACCCGCUGAACUUAAGCAUAUCAAUA